rnacentral:rRNA from 1 species
GACGAACGCUGGCGGCGUGCCUAAUACAUGCAAGUCGAGCGAUGAAGAUUGGUGCUUGCUCCAAUUUGAAGAGCAGCGAACGGGUGAGUAACGCGUGGGGAAUCUGCCUUUGAGCGGGGGACAACAUUUGGAAACGAAUGCUAAUACCGCAUAACAACUUUAAACAUAAGUUUUAAGUUUGAAAGAUGCAAUUGCAUCACUCAAAGAUGAUCCCGCGUUGUAUUAGCUAGUUGGUGAGGUAAAGGCUCACCAAGGCGAUGAUACAUAGCCGACCUGAGAGGGUGAUCGGCCACAUUGGGACUGAGACACGGCCCAAACUCCUAAGGGAGGCAGCAGUAGGGAAUCUUCGGCAAUGGACGAAAGUCUGACCGAGCAACGCCGCGUGAGUGAAGAAGGUGUUCGGAUCGUAAAACUCUGUUGGUAGAGAAGAACGUUGGUGAGAGUGGAAAGCUCAUCAAGUGACGGUAACGAACAAGAAGGGGACGGCUAACUACGG